ACACCCCAAAGGAGAACACCUGGGCUGCCUCUGAGGUCUUCAGAAAGUCACCUGACCCGCAGAGCUACAGGGGCACCACCGUGAAGGAGGCUCGGAGUGCAAGGGGGGCCGAUGCCAGCUGGUCUCUCCAUCACCCAGGUAUGGUCCGCGGGCCAGAUCCCUCCUGCACGGCCCCAAGCAAAUGACACCGCCCACCCCCCCGGCCCCACGCACACAUUAGCGCAAAUGAAUCACACAGGAAGGCCUGUUCGUACUAUGAGCUUUUAAUUGGCUUCCUCCUACGUCUGAGGAAGAAACGGAGGCCCCACAAUGAGCUUUAACGGUUUUAGAGGGGCGUGUGCAGAACGAAGGGCUGCAGAGGGACUGGGGGGCAGCGGCAGAGCUGACAGGGGCUCCAGAAUCCUUCACGUGGUGGCAGGUGGCUGGACCUGCACCGGAAGUCCAGAAACGAAAUCUCCAGCAAGCUGCCGCAUCUCACACAAAGCCUCCCUCCAGGCCCGGCAGCUCCCGAGGCCACCACCAGGAAGCCAGUGGCAGAUGAAAGCACCCUGUCAAUGGGACCCUUUGACAUCUGGGGGGCCGCCCGUGGGUCUGCUGCUGGCGGGACCCCGGGAUCUGGACACUGCGUUCAGUCACUGUGAGUUCUCUGUGGUCCUAGCACCUGGCACCCAGUAAAUGUUCCGAAAAUGUCUGUUGCGUCGGCCUGAACCAAACUGAAUUAAUAAAUCAACAAGCAAUAACCAAUCAAUAAAGCCAAGGAGAUGAAA